rnacentral:rRNA from 1 species
UAAUACAUGCAAGUCGUGCGAAUGCUUCAAGGAGCUUGCUCUUUGAAGUGUUAGCGGCGGAUGGGUGAGUAACACGUGGGCAACCUGCCCUACAGAUGGGGAUAACUCCGGGAAACCGGGGCUAAUACCGAAUAAACAGUUUGUCCGCAUGGACAAACUCUGAAAGACGGUUUCGGCUGUCACUGUAGGAUGGGCCCGCGGCGCAUUAGCUAGUUGGUGGGAUAAUGGCCUACCAAGGCAACGAUGCGUAGCCGACCUGAGAGGGUGAUCGGCCACACUGGGACUGAGACACGGCCCAGACUCCUACGGGAGGCAGCAGUAGGGAAUCUUCCACAAUGGACGGAAGUCUGAUGGAGCAAUGCCGCGUGAGUGAAGAAGGUUUUCGGAUCGUAAAGCUCUGUUGUAAGGGAAGAACAAGUAUGGGAGUAACUGCCCGUACCUUGACGGUACCUUAUUAGAAAGCCACGGCUAACUACGUGCCAGCAGCCGCGGUAAUACGUAGGUGGCAAGCGUUGUCCGGAAUUAUUGGGCGUAAAGCGCGCGCAGGCGGCCCCUUAAGUCUGAUGUGAAAGCCCCCGGCUCAACCGGGGAAGGUCAUUGGAAACUGAGAGGCUUGAGUACAGAAGAGGAAAGCGGAAUUCCACGUGUAGCGGUGAAAUGCGUAGAGAUGUGGAGGAACACCAGUGGCGAAGGCGGCUUUCUGGUCUGUAACUGACGCUGAGGCGCGAAAGCGUGGGGAGCAAACAGGAUUAGAUACCCUGGUAGUCCACGCCGUAAACGAUGAGUGCUAAGUGUUAGGGGGUUUCCGCCCCUUAGUGCUGGAGCAAACGCAUUAAGCACUCCGCCUGGGGGAGUACGGCCGCAAGGCUGAACUCAAGGAAUUGACGGGGACCCGCACAGCGGUGGAGCAUGUGGUUUAAUUCGAGCUACGCGAGACCUUACCAGGUCUUGACAUCCCAUUGGUCGUAUAGAGAUAUACUUUCCUCGGGACAUGUUGACAGUGUGCAUGUGUCGUCAGCUCGGUCUGGAUGUGGUAGUCGUACGAGGCAACUUGAUUUAGUUGCCAGCAUUAGUUGGCCCUCUAGGGUACUUGCGGUUAUAACCGGAAGAAGGUGGGGAUAACCUUCCAAUAAACU